UACGAAGGGGGCUAGCGUUGUUCGGAAUUACUGGGCGUAAAGCGCACGUAGGCGGAUUUGUAAGUCAGGGGUGAAAUCCCGGGGCUCAACCUCGGAACUGCCUUUGAUACUGCAAGUCUCGAGUCCGAUAGAGGUGAGUGGAAUUCCUAGUGUAGAGGUGAAAUUCGUAGAUAUUAGGAAGAACACCAGUGGCGAAGGCGGCUCACUGGAUCGGUACUGACGCUGAGGUGCGAAAGCGUGGGGAGCGAACAGG
rnacentral:rRNA from 1 species